rnacentral:rRNA from 1 species
AUUGAACGCUGGCGGCAUGCUUUACACAUGCAAGUCGAACGGUAACAGGCCGCAAGGUGCUGACGAGUGGCGAACGGGUGAGUAAUGCAUCGGAACGUGCCCAGCCGUGGGGGAUAACUACUCGACAGAGUAGCUAAUACCGCAUACGAUCUAUGGAUGAAAGCGGGGGACCGGAAGGCCUCGCGCGGUUGGAGCGGCCGAUGUCCGAUUAGGUAGUUGGUGGGGUAAAGGCUCACCAAGCCCACGAUCUGUAGCUGGUCUGUGAGGACGAGCAGCGACACUGGGAGUGAGACACGGCCCAGACGCCUACGGGAGGCAGCAGUGGGGAAUUGUGGACAAUGGGCGCAAGCCUGAUCCAGCAAUGCCGCGUGCAGGGAGAAGGCCUUCGGGUUGUAAACUGCUUUUGUGCGGAACGAAACGGUUCUGGUUAAUACCCGGGGUUAAUGACGGUACCGGAAGAAUAAGCACCGGCUAACUACGUG